rnacentral:rRNA from 1 species
CGAGUGAAGCGGCAAAAGCUCAAAUUUGAAAUCUGGCCUCCUUUGGUGGUCCGAGUUGUAAUUUGCAGAGGGCGCUUUGGCGUCGGCAGCGGUCUAAGUUCCUUGGAACAGGACAUCGCAGAGGGUGAGAAUCCCGUACGUGGUCGCCUGCCUUCGCCGUGUAAAGCCCCUUCGACGAGUCGAGUUGUUUGGGAAUGCAGCUCUAAAUGGGAGGUAAAUUUCUUCUAAAGCUAAAUACCGGCCAGAGACCGAUAGCGCACAAGUAGAGUGAUCGAAAGAUGAAAAGCACUUUGGAAAGAGAGUCAAACAGCACGUGAAAUUGUUGAAAGGGAAGCGCUUGCAGCCAGACUUGCCCGUAGUUGCUCACCCGGACUUUUGCCCGGGGCAUUCUUCUGCGGGCAGGCCAGCAUCAGUUUGGGCGACCGGAUAAAGGCCUCUGUCACGUAUCUUCCUUCGGGAUGACCUUAUAGGGGAGGCGUAAUGCGGUCAGCCCGGACUGAGGUCCGCGCAUCUGCUAGGAUGCUGGCGUAAUGGCUGUAAGCGGCCCGUCUUGAAACACGGACCAAGGAGUCUAACAUCUAUGCGAGUGUUUGGGUGUCAAGCCCGGGCGCGUAAUGAAAGUGAACGGAGGUGGGAACCCUCCUUGAGGGGGUGCACCAUCGACCGAUCCUGAUGUCUUCGGAUGGAUUUGAGUAAGAGCAUAGCUGUUGGGACCCGAAAGAUGGUGAACUAUGCUUGAAUAGGGUGAAGCCAGAGGAAACUCUGGUGGAGGCUCGCAGCGGUUCUGACGUGCAAAUCGAUCGUCAAAUUUGGGCAUAGGGGCGAAAGACUAAUCGAACUAUCUAGUAGCUGGUUCCUGCG